ensembl:lncRNA
GUGAGAUCUGGGCUCCUCAGCACCAGCAGUGUGAACCGGUGUGAGUCCAGAUCACACAAUCCUCAGCUGGACAGACACACACACAGCUGGACUACAAGAAGAUCACUGUGUCACUGUGCUGCUGACUCACGACAGGACAGGACUCUCACACACACACACACACGUACACGCUCACACACACUGUCACACACUCUCACACACACACACACACGUGCACGCUCACACACUCUCACACACACACGUGCACGCUCACACACAGUCACACACUCUCACACACACACACACACACGUGCACGCUCGCACACACACUGUCACACACACACGCUCACACACACACGUGCACGCUCACACUCUGUCACACACUCUCACACACACACACAGUCACACACGCUCACACACACACGCUCACACACACACUGUCACACACUCUCAAACACUCUCUCACACACACACACUGUCACACAAACACCCACACUCUCACACACACAGUGUCACACACACACACACACUCUCACACACACAGUGUCACACACACACACACACUGUCACACAAACACCCACACUCUCACACACACUGUCACACACUCUCUCUCACACACACACACAGUCACACACGCUCACACACACACGCUCACACACACACUGUCACACACUCUCAAACACUCGCUCACACACACACACAGUAACACAAACACCCACACUCUCACACACACAGUGUCACACACACACACACUGUCAUACAAACACCCACACUCUCACACACACACACAUGCACGCUCACACACACAGUGUCACACACUCUCACACACACUGUCACACACUCUCACACAGACACUUGCAUGCUCACACACACACUGUCACACACUCUCACACACACACGUGCACGCUCACACACACACAGUCACACACUCAAACACUGUCACACAAACACAUGCACACACACACACUGUCACACAAACAUACACACACACGUACACGCUCACACACACGUACACUACACUGCAACUGAAUGACUAA